rnacentral:rRNA from 1 species
UGAGCAACCUGCCCUUGACUCCGGAAUAACAGCUGGAAACAGCUGCUAAUACCGGAUACGACCUCCGAUGGCAUCAUCUGGAGGUGGAAAGCACCGGCGGUCAAGGAUGGGCUCGCGGCCUAUCAGCUUGUUGGUGAGGUAACGGCUCACCAAGGCUUCGACGGGUAGCCGGCCUGAGAGGGCGACCGGCCACACUGGGACUGAGAUACGGCCCAGACCUCCGUAGGGACGG